GGAGGGGCCUGCGUCCCAUCAGCUUGUUGGUAGGGUAAUGGCCUACCAAGGCUAUGACGGGUAGGGGACCUGAGAGGGUGGCCCCCCACAAUGGAACUGAAACACGGUCCAUACACCUACGGGUGGCAGCAGUAGGGAAUAUUGGUUAAUCUGCGAAAGCGGGAACCAGCAACGCCGCGUGUGCGAUGAAGGCCUUCGGGUCGUAAAGCACUUUUCAGAGGGAUGAGAAAGGACAGUACCUUUGGAAUAAGCUUCGGCUAACUACGUGCCAGCAGCCGCGGUAAAACGUAGGAAGCGAGCGUUAUCCGGAUUUACUGGGCGUAAAGCGCAUGCAGGCGGUUUGGAUAGUUGGAUGUGAAAGCUCCCGGCUUAACUGGGAGAGGUCGUUCAAUACUUCCAGACUAGAGAGUGGUAGAGGGAGGUGGAAUUCCGGGUGUAGUGGUGAAAUGCGUAGAUAUCCGGAGGAACACCAGUGGCGAAAGCGGCCUCCUGGCCCAUUUCUGACGCUCAGAUGCGAAAGCUAGGGUAGCAAACGGGAUUAGAGACCCCGGUAGUCCUAGCUGUAAACGAUGUGAACUUGGCGUCGGCGGGUUUAAAUCCGUCGGUGCCGUAGCCAACGCGAUAA
rnacentral:rRNA from 1 species